CGGAGCUGAGGCAGCUCUGGCCCUUCACAGCUCUGUGGCCCCGAGACGCGGGGGACAAGGCAGAGGGCUUGGGGGAGAGGGAUAGAAGGGCAGCGUGUGACUCUCUGACCGGGCAGUGAGCAGGCCCCCAGCUACAGGCUAUGAGACUAGUGAUUACUGAGAAAUGAAGUGACCCACUGACCCAGACCUAUGAGCCUUUGAAGAAGUAGAAAUGGGUUCUUCUCUAUGAGGAGAAAAUUGAGCUAUGACUAGCCAUUUCCUUACUGAAGAUGACCAACUGGUUCAAAAUGCAGCCCUAAGAUCAUCUUUGGAAUUCAUGAACUUCGUUGGUUCUAUGAUCUCUUCAAUGAGCAAUUGACCUGAAAUGGUGGAGAAUCAAAUCAAUCCAUACCUCUAUAUUCUUUAUGAUUCUUCUACAAGUCAUCCUAUAAACCCUCCAAAAGGUUGGAAGGUACUCAAUAUUCUGAAGAUUAUCUUCUAGAUGGCUUGACUUGAAUGGACACUAGUGGAGCGUAUAGAUGUUGUUCAUCCUUCCUUUCAAAGAGGACCAGUGACCUCACAGGGUAAUGUCUUGACUUUCUUGUGAA